rnacentral:rRNA from 1 species
GACGAACGCUGGCGGCGUGCUUAACACAUGCAAGUCGAACGGAAAGGCCCUGCUUGCAGGGUACUCGAGUGGCGAACGGGUGAGUAACACGUGGGUGAUCUGCCCUGCACUUCGGGAUAAGCUUGGGAAACUGGGUCUAAUACCGGAUAGGAGCCAUCUUUAGUGUGGUGGUUGGAAAGUUUUUUCGGUGUAGGAUGAGCUCGCGGCCUAUCAGCUUGUUGGUGGGGUAAUGGCCUACCAAGGCGGCGACGGGUAGCCGGCCUGAGAGGGUGUACGGCCACAUUGGGACUGAGAUACGGCCCAGACUCCUACGGGAGGCAGCAGUGGGGAAUAUUGCACAAUGGGCGCAAGCCUGAUGCAGCGACGCCGCGUGGGGGAUGAAGGCCUUCGGGUUGUAAACUCCUUUCGCUAGGGACGAAGCUUUUUUGUGACGGUACCUAGAUAAGAAGCACCGGCGAACUACGU